rnacentral:rRNA from 1 species
GAUGAACGCUAGCGGGAGGCUUAACACAUGCAAGUCGAGGGGCAGCAUAGGGUAGCAAUACUCUGAUGGCGACCGGCAAACGGGUGAGUAACGCGUAUGUAACCUACCCUGUACAGGGGGAUAACCCGGAGAAAUUCGGACUAAUAUCCCAUAACAAUAUCCGGGGGCAUCUUUGGAUAUUUAAAGUUCCGGCGGUACGGGAUGGGCAUGCGUAACAUUAGCUAGUUGGUAAGGUAACGGCUUACCAAGGCUUUGAUGUUUAGGGGUCCUGAGAGGGUGGUCCCCCACACUGGUACUGAGACACGGACCAGACUCCUACGGGAGGCAGCAGUGAGGAAUAUUGGGUCAAUGGGCGCAAGCCUGAACCAGCCAUCCCGCGUGCAGGAAGACGGCGCUAUGCGUUGUAAACUGCUUUUCCAGGGAGAGAAACUUGCGCACGUGUUGCGCAAUUGACGGUACCCUGGGAAUAAGCAUCGGCUAACUCCGUGCCAGCAGCCGCGGUAAGCUAGUCUACG